AUCAACUUUCGAUGGUAGGAUAGAGGCCUACCAUGGUGGUAACGGGUAACGGGGUGUUAGGGCACGACACCGGAGAGGGAGCCUGAGAAACGGCUACCACAUCCAAGGAUGGCAGCAGGCGCGCAAAUUACCCAAUCCCGACACGGGGAGGUAGUGACAAUAAAUAACAAUACGGGGCUCUUUAGGGUCUCGUAAUUGGAAUGAGUACAAUUUAAAUCUCUUAACGAGGAACAAUUGGAGGGCAAGUCUGGUGCCAGCAGCCGCGGUAAUUCCAGCUCCAAUAGCGUAUAUUAAAGUUGUUGCAGUUAAAAAGCUCGUAGUUGAAUUUCGGGAUCAGCAGGUUGGUCGUGCCUCUGGUAUGCACUGGUUUCGCUGAUUCCUCCUUUCUGAAGAACUGUAAUGUCAUUAAUUUGGUGUUGCAGGGAAACAGGACUGUUACUUUGAAAAAAUUAGAGUGUUUAAAGCAAGCUAAGGCUUGAAUACAUUAGCAUGGAAUAAUGAAAUAGGACGUUUGAUCCUAUUUUGUUGGUUUCUAGGAUUGACGUAAUGAUUAAUAGGGAUAGUUGGGGGCAUUAGUAUUCAAUUGUCAGAGGUGAAAUUCUUGGAUUUAUUGAAGACUAACUACUGCGAAAGCAUUUGCCAAGGAUGUUUUCAUUAAUCAAGAACGAAAGUUAGGGGAUCGAAGACGAUCAGAUACCGUCGUACUCUUAACCAUAAACUAUGCCGACUAGGGAUCGGAUGAUGUUAAUUUUUUAAUGACUCAUUCGGCGCCUUACGGGAAACCAAAGUGUUUGGGUUC
rnacentral:rRNA from 1 species